GGGGGAUUAUGUGGUUCUCUCUGUCGUCUUCUGCUUCAUCCUUCACCUUGCCUUUGUGGCUUUCCUCUUGGUGCUUUAACAUUCCUUAGUGGUGGUUCUCUAAGUGAGUAAACUUUUUGCAACAGUACGUGAAGGCUUAAAGGUGUUCUUCGAUCGUUUGGUUUGAGGUGUUGAUUUGGGUUUGUGAAACUCGGCCUGAAAACCUUGGUGGUGGGCUAUUGGUGGCUCUACAGAAAUUUGUAAAGCUAUUAAUUUAUUUCAACAUGGAUAGAUUGUUAAAAAAAAAAAAAUUAUUUAUUUUUAAUGUAUCCAUAGCAAAAGUGCUUAUAUAGAAUUGAAAGACUUCUUGGAAAAAUUAAUAAGAGAACUUAUGGAAAACUGACUAUAUCAUUGUAUUUAACUUUUUACAUUACUCAGCUAUGGUUUUGGAUAUUACUUGCAGUUGAAUACUAAAUUGAGUGAUAAUAGAGAUCACUCUUCUUAAAUUUAAAUUUU
rnacentral:lncRNA from 1 species